rnacentral:rRNA from 1 species
AUUGAACGCUGGCGGCAGGCUUAACACAUGCAAGUCGAACGAGUGGCGGACGGGUGAGUAAUGCUUGGGAAUCUAGCUUGUGGAGGGGGAUAACUACGGGAAACUGUAGCUAAUACCGCGUACCAUAGGAUGAGCCCAAGUGGGAUUAGGGAGUGGGGGAGGUAAAGGCUCACAAAGACGACGAUCUCUAGCUGGUCUGAGAGGAUGACCAGCCAAACUUGGACUGAGACACGUCCCAGACUCCUACGGGAGGCAGCAGUGGGGAAUAUUGCGCAAUGGUGGCAAGCUGACGCAGCCAUGCAGCGUGAAUGAAGAAGGCCUUCGGGUUGUAAAGUUCUUUCGGUAGCGAUGCGUUAACUACAGAAGAAGCACCGGCUAACUCCGUGCCAGCAGCCGCGGUAAUAC